CACCCCUACCCACACGCCCGAUCCCCAACCCCAUUCCCCCACACGCUGCACACCCCAAUCCCAUCGGCCUCGGUCAUCAGUCGAUCCCCAACCCCAGUUCCCCAAUCCCCACUCUCCCAGUCCUAGACUCCUAGCCUCCAAGACCCAGGCUCCUAGCCGAGAGCCGGAAGCCGCACCGCCGCCCCAAGCAGCCAGGGCGCUAGGCCCUGCCUAGAUCUACACUGGCAGGAGCUGAGGAGAGUGCUUGUCGCCACACUGGAGCAGUGUCUGUGCCUCACACCCAAGAU
rnacentral:lncRNA from 7 species